UNGCUGCCCAGUGUCCUCUGAGUGGAUGC
rnacentral:piRNA from 1 species